GAUGAACGCUGGCGGCGUGCCUAAUACAUGCAAGUCGAGCGAACGGACGAGAGGCUUGCUUCUCUGAUGUUAGCGGCGGACGGGUGAGUAACACGUGGAUAACCUACCUAUAAGACUGGGAUAACUUCGGGAAACCGGAGCUAAUACCGGAUAAUAUUUUGAACCGCAUGGUUCAAAAGUGAAAGACGGUCUUGCUGUCACUUAUAGAUGGAUCCGCGCUGCAUUAGCUAGUUGGUAAGGUAACGGCUUACCAAGGCAACGAUGCAUAGCCGACCUGAGAGGGUGAUCGGCCACACUGGAACCGAGACACGGUCCAGACUCCUACGGGAGGCAGCAGUAGGGAAUCUUCCGCAAUGGGCGAAAGCCUGACGGAGCAACGCCGCGUGAGUGAUGAAGGUCUUCGGAUCGUAAAACUCUGUUAUUAGGGAAGAACAUAUGUGUAAGUAACUGUGCACAUCUUGACGGUACCUAAUCAGAAAGCCACGGCUAACUACGUG
rnacentral:rRNA from 1 species